AGUGAACGCUGGCGGUAGGCCUAACACAUGCAAGUCGAACGGCAGCACAGUAAGAGCUUGCUCUUACGGGUGGCGAGUGGCGGACGGGUGAGGAAUACAUCGGAAUCUACUUUUUCGUGGGGGAUAACGUAGGGAAACUUACGCUAAUACCGCAUACGACCUACGGGUGAAAGCAGGGGAUCUUCGGACCUUGCGCGAUUGAAUGAGCCGAUGUCGGAUUAGCUAGUUGGCGGGGUAAAGGCCCACCAAGGCGACGAUCCGUAGCUGGUCUGAGAGGAUGAUCCGCCACACUGUAACUGAGACACGGUCGAGACUCCUACGGGAGGCAGCAGUGGGGAAUAUUAGGCAAAGGGGGCGAGCCUGAUCCAGCGAAACCGCGUAAAUGAUGAAGGCCUUCGGCUUGGAAAACCCUUUUGUUGGGAAAGAAAAACAACACUUUAAUACCCCACUGUUCUGACGGUACCCAAAGAAUAAGCACCGGCUAACUUCGUG
rnacentral:rRNA from 1 species